rnacentral:rRNA from 1 species
UAGGGAAUAUUGGACAAUGGGGGAAACCCUGAUCCAGCAAUGCCGCGUGAGCGAUGAAGGCCUUAGGGUUGUAAAGCUCUUUUACCCGAGAUGAUAAUGACAGUAUCGGGAGAAUAAGCCCCGGCUAACUCCGUGCCAGCAGCCGCGGUAAUACGGAGGGGGCUAGCGUUGUUCGGAAUUACUGGGCGUAAAGCGCACGUAGGCGGCGAUCUAAGUCAGAGGUGAAAGCCCGGGGCUCAACCCCGGAACUGCCUUUGAGACUGGAUUGCUAGAAUCUUGGAGAGGCGAGUGGAAUUCCGAGUGUAGAGGUGAAAUUCGUAGAUAUUCGGAAGAACACCAGUGGCGAAGGCGGCUCGCUGGACAAGUAUUGACGCUGAGGUGCGAAAGCGUGGGGAGCAAAC